AGAAGACUCGUGCAUGUGUUGAGUGAAGAAACAAAAAAAAAACUACAUCACACAUGCUCUUUUCAUAAUCAGUACUUUCCAAAAAUAGAAACGAUAAAGAUAUAAUUUAAUAAAUACGAACAUAGUGGGAAGAUAAAUAAUGAAUUUAAAAUAUUAAUAAAAAUGUAUAAUAAUAUAAUUAAGAACACAGGGUUUUCACCUGCCCUGCAGACAUGCGUUUGAGUGGUAACAUGUUUAGAAAAACUGUAAUAAUAUAUUUGGCAGCUAAUCCCGUCAGCAUUAAUAAAUAAUAGUAAUAAUAAAAAAAUAAUAAUAAUAAAAUUCUGCCCACAAUGCGUGUUUGUUGUCUACUUCAGCUGUGGCUAUUUCAUAGUUAUGCAUUAUAUAUUUGUUGUUUUCUUGACAUGAACCAUUUUAAUGACAGUUUCUGGAUAUCAGUAGGAAACUGUUGCCUCGCUGGUUUUGGAAUCCGCCGUAAAAGUCACAGGGCGCGCUUCUGCACACCACUUCAUUCAUGAUGCUGUUGCUAACAUUUACUUCGCAUGAUGUGAAACGCCAUGGAAACACUUUUUUUCUUUAAAUUAGUAGUCUGUGCCUAAACGCAGUGGGCCUUCAACAGAUGCUUUCAGACGGCAGGUAAUAGAAUCAAACCUGCGAAUGAGGUGAGUCUUUGUGUUAUUCAUAUUAUCAACCUGUGCUUUUGGAAGAUUAAGGCCGUAAUGUAUCACCCUUGUGCGUGUAAAAGUUGUGGGUUGUGGAAGUUGUGAAGUGGGAUUUCUCUCUGCAGGAAACUCCGGCGGCUGGAGUUCAAAGCCGCAUGAACAGACGAGCCAUUAAAAUAUCAUCCAGACUGCAGCAUUCAGCUCCAUGCACUCCCAAACUCCUUCCAGAGAGAAAGAAAGAGCCAAUGGAAGCUGUUGAGCUGAAAGUUUUGUCUUAAGGACGUUAUCUUUAUUAAAGAAAUCUGGAAGAUGUCUUCAACAUGUGGAAAACGGUCCUAAACAUAUCAACCCAAAGUGCGCACUAAGGAAAUGCCUGGAGAAUGCAGCUGUGACCAACUAAGCCUUAGCCAUUUGACUAACAUCUUUACUAUUCGUCAUAGUACACACGGUGUUUACUUAUUUAUGACAUGGAGGGUGCUGCUUUGUCACCAGAGGCUUGACAGAUCAAUUCAUGACGUUUCUUAAGGGAAUUCCAGUUCCUGUGCAUCAAUAAUUGAACGCAACUUGACCUUAAUCAAAUGGAGGUUGAAGACAUCGUCUGUUUGCAAUAUUUUUAUAUAGAUUUUUUUUUGUUCAAACGAGCUUAAAAUAUUUAUAUUUAAAACGUUCAAAUGGCAUUUAGUUAUUGUAAAGUUUUUCAAUGUUUUAGUUGUGGAACCAAAAACUAAAGGAAAAAGUUUAAUUCUAUAUUAUCCUGCGGCUGUUGAUGCCUUCGUUGGAUGCAGAAACAUACGGAAAGUCAAAAAGAUGCAGACCACUCACCAAUGUGAAGUUGGAUAAGCAUGGGAAGAUCAACUGCUUUCAUUUUCAUCGAUAAGCAUAAGUAUACAUGCAAAUACUGUCUAUACGUCCAUGUAUAAUUCUUAUAAAUCUUAAGUUAAUAAAGAUUUCAAACAUUUUAAAUAAAUUCAGUUUUAAUUUGGUUGGACUUCUUUUGGGUCAAUUCACCUAACUCAUCCUAUUUGUCCGUAGCACAUUUGAUUCAAAUGACGCUUAAAAUAGUUGUGGUUAACAGGAUAAUAAUUUGGCGUUUCUGUCCUCUGACGG